AAAGGGGUCGAAACUUUAACUUCUGCUCGAGCAGGAAAAAAUGCUGCUUGAGCAGCAUUUAAAUGCUGCUCGACCAGCAAAAUGCUGCUCGAGCAGCAAAUUUACUGCUCGACCAGCAUUUUUUCUGCUCGAGCAGAAAAAUCCUGCUCGACCAGCAUUUAUUUUUAGAUUAUGGCAUUAGCCAAUCAGAGCUCUUGUUAUAUUUGCCACAUGGUGCGAAACUGGUUUGUUUUGAAAAAAUGGCUGCCACCAUUAUGGUGCCUUUUUCACAUCUUCUGCAAGUUUAUGUGACGACCUGUUUAAAGUUUAACAGUGACACGCGGUGGACUUCAAUAUGUAUGAUCUACUUAUGCUGCCACAAUGUAAAGGCAACAAUCACUGGGUUUUGCUGUUUGCAAGUGUUAUGUCCAGGACUGUAACCAUUUACGACUCGUUGGGUGGUAACAACAAGGCAUUGUUCGAUUUGUUCUGCCAGUUCAUGUGUCAACGAGCGCAAAUUGUGAACGAUGGCUUGGAAAAAAUUCAGUUCAGAGUUCAAAGCGCCACCUUGCAACAAACAGCGCCAUGGAAACAGCUGUGGAGUGUUUGCAUUGAUGACUGCCAAAUGUAUGGUCAUGAAAAAGCAUCCCACAAUGUUGCGACAGGCCCAUGAUUCAGCUUAUCAAGACUAGUCGUGAGACGCAGACUUCUGAUUCAUGGAGUGCGGCAAACAUAUCUGUGUGACUCGAUCACUCCACUGUAAAGACCCGCACGGCAUUAAAAUGGAUAUUAUCAAUAUGUGUUGUUGCUCGAAAAUAUGUUUUGUAGCAGGAAGUGCUUUGGGCUCGAUUAAUCUGAGAACUCAACAAAAUAUUAAUAAAAUCCUUCUGUGCCUUUUAGUUCUGAAAACAGAAGUAGCCAGUUGGUAUUACACAUCUCCUAAACAAGUACAGCACAAUAAAACUGAAGGUUUUAAAUCCUACAUUU